GGGUCGUGCUGGUGUAAAGAAGGUUUUGGGGGUCUACGAUGUGACAGGUGUGCUGUUGGUUACAAGGACUACCCGUCUUGUCAGCGGUGUGAAUGCAGCGUGGAAGGAAGCACAAACACUGACCCGUGUAUAACACCUUGUGUAUGCAAGGAAAAUGUUGAGGGAGAGAACUGUGACCGUUGUAAACUUGG